UGUGACCUCAAAUCAGGUAGGACUACCCGCUGAACUUAAGCAUAUCAAUAAGCGGAGGAAAAGAAACUAACAAGGAUUCCCCUAGUAACUGCGAGUGAAGCGGGAAAAGCUCAAAUUUAAAAUCUGGCAGUCUUUGGCUGUCCGAGUUGUAAUCUAGAGAAGUGCUAUCCGCGCUGGACCGUGUACAAGUCUCCUGGAAUGGAGCGUCAUAGAGGGUGAGAAUCCCGUCUUUGACACGGACUGCCAGGGCUUUGUGAUGCGCUCUCAAAGAGUCGGGUUGUUUGGGAAUGCAGCUCAAAAUGGGUGGUAAAUUCCAUCUAAAGCUAAAUAUUGGCGAGAGACCGAUAGCGAACAAGUACCGUGAGGGAAAGAUGAAAAGAACUUUGGAAAGAGAGUUAAACAGUACGUGAAAUUGCUGAAAGGGAAACGCUUGAAGUCAGUCGCGUUGUCCAGGGAUCAACCUUGCUUUUGCUUGGUGCACUUUCUGGUUGACGGGUCAGCAUCAAUUUUGACUAUUGGAAAAAGAUUAGGGGAAUGUGACAUCUUCGGAUGUGUUAUAGCCCUUGGUUGCAUACAAUGGUUGGGAUUGAGGAACUC
rnacentral:rRNA from 1 species